GCCGGCCGUGGCGAGCGCGCUGCCCAGGUGGCUGACGACCAGCUGGCGAAGGUAUUCCUGGACCUCGGCGGUGCGGAACUGCGGGUCGGUGCC
rnacentral:tRNA from 1 species